GACGAAGCGCAAGUGACGGUAGGUACAGAAGAAGCNCCGGCCAANUUACGUGCCAGCAGCCGCGUAAUACGUAGGGUGCGAGCGUUGUCCGGAAUUAUUGGGCGUAAAGGGCUCGUAGGCGGUUUGUCGCGUCGGGAGUGAAAACNNCCGGCUUAACACGNGCGCUUGCUUUCGAUACGGGCAGACUAGAGGUAUUCAGGGGAGAACGGAAUUCCUGGUGUAGCGNGUGAAAUGCGCAGAUAUCAGGAGGAACACCCGUGGCGAAGGCGGUUCUCUGGGAAUGACCUGACGCUGAGGAGCGAAAGUGUGGGGAGCGAACAGGAUUAGAUACCCUGGUAGUCCACACCGUAAACGUUGGGCGCUAGGUGUGGGGUCCAUUCCACGGAUUCCGUGCCGCAGCUAACGCAUUAAGCGCCCCGCCUGGGGAGUACGGCCGCAAGGCUAAAACUCAAAGGAAUUGACGGGGGCCCGCACAAGCGGCGGAGCAUGCGGAUUAAUUCGAUGCAACGCGAAGAACCUUACCUGGGUUUGACAUACACCCUGCCGCUCCAGAGAUGGGGCUUCUUUUGGGGGUGUACAGGUGGUGCAUGGCUGUCGUCAGCUCG
rnacentral:rRNA from 1 species